rnacentral:lncRNA from 1 species
GGAGCAAAACAAUUUGUCCUUUAGCGUUUUUGGACCUAAACGUAAAAACAUAAACUUUUGGGCCAAAGUGCAAAUACACAAAACAAAAGUAUCAAAAACUUUAUGUAAUUGCAUAAAAGACCCAAAAGUACUCCCAUUGAGGGAGGGCCGGUUUUUAGAGAGGGAAAGGGAGUGGAGAUAAGUCCACAAAAAUUUGGAAAUUUUUUCAACAAUUUCAUAAAGCCUUGCAAGUGGAAUUUGGUUGUUGUGAAUCAUAAAACAUGCAUGUGGUGUGUAAGGUGUGUAAGUCUUACACACCCAUCACAAUUUCUAUCACCUUUCAAAAAAAAAUGUUUUGGUGAUAGAAAAUUCACAUCAACCAACACAAAACAAAGACUUUAUGAAAUUAACCAAAACUUUGAAUCAAAACACAAACCUUUUUGUUCUUGGCAAAAAUGUCAAGAACAAUGAAGAACACUCAUAAAAAAACUCAAAAUUUUCCAUGAACAUUUUUCACCCAAAAACAUUCCAAAACCAUUCAAACUUUAGGGAAAUAA